rnacentral:rRNA from 1 species
UGGAGCUUGCUCCAUGAUUCAGCGGCGGACGGGUGAGUAAUGCCUAGGAAUCUGCCUGGUAGUGGGGGAUAACGUUUCGAAAGGAACGCUAAUACCGCAUACGUCCUACGGGAGAAAGUGGGGGAUCUUCGGACCUCACGCUAUCAGAUGAGCCUAGGUCGGAUUAGCUAGUUGGUGGGGUAAUGGCCCACCAAGGCGACGAUCCGUAACUGGUCUGAGAGGAUGAUCAGUCACACUGGAACUGAGACACGGUCCAGACUCCUACGGGAGGCAGCAGUGGGGAAUAUUGGACAAUGGGCGAAAGCCUGAUCCAGCCAUGCCGCGUGUGUGAAGAAGGUCUUCGGAUUGUAAAGCACUUUAAGUUGGGAGGAAGGGCAGUAAGUUAAUACCUUGCUGUUUUGACGUUACCAACAGAAUAAGCACCGGCUAACUUCGUGCCAGCAGCCGCGGUAAUACGAAGGGUGCAAGCGUUAAUCGGAAUUACUGGGCGUAAAGCGCGCGUAGGUGGUUCAGCAAGUUGGAUGUGAAAGCCCCGGGCUCAACCUGGGAAUUGCAUCCAAAACUACUGAGCUAGAGUACGGUAGAGGGUGGUGGAAUUUCCUGUGUAGCGGUGAAAUGCGUAGAUAUAGGAAGGAACACCAGUGGCGAAGGCGACCACCUGGACUGAUACUGACACUGAGGUGCGAAAGCGUGGGGAGCAAA